CAGGUCACUCCUACGGGAGGCAGCAGUGGGGAAUAUUGGACAAUGGGCGCAAGCCUGAUCCAGCAAUGCCGCGUGAGUGAUGAAGGCCUUCGGGUUGUAAAGCCCUUUUCUGGGGGAAGAUGAUGACGGUACCGGAAGAAGAAGCCCCGGCUAACUUCGUGCCAGCAGCCGCGGUAAUACGAAGGGGGCUAGCGUUGUUCGGAAUUACUGGGCGUAAAGGGCGCGUAGGCGGCCCCGAUCGUCGGAUGUGAAAGGCCUGGGCUUAACCUGGGAACGGCAUUCGAUACGGCGGGGCUUGAGUCCGGGAGAGGAUAGUGGAAUUCCCAGUGUAGAGGUGAAAUUCGUAGAUAUUGGGAAGAACACCGGUGGCGAAGGCGGCUAUCUGGACCGACAUUGACGCUGAGGCGCGAAAGCGUGGGGAGCAAACAGGAUUAGAUACCCUGGUAGUCCUAGCCCUAAACGAUGAUUGCUUGGUGUGGCAGGUACCCAAUCCUGCCGUGCCGCAGCUAACGCGUUAAGCAAUCCGCCUGGGGAGUACGGUCGCAAGGCUGAAACUUAAAGGAAUUGACG
rnacentral:rRNA from 1 species